AUUGAACGCUGGCGGCAGGCCUAACACAUGCAAGUCGAACGAGUGGCGGACGGUUGAGUAAUGUCUGGGAAACUGCCCGAUAGAGGGGGAUAACUACUGGAAACGUUAGCUAAUACCGCAUACUAUCGGAUGUACCCAUAGGGGAUUGGCUAGCAGGUGGGGUAAAGGCUCACCUAGGCGACGAUCCCUAGCUUGUCUGAGAGGAGGACACGCCACACGUGGACUGAGACACGGCCCAGACUCCUACGGGAGGCAGCAGUGGGGAAUAGUGCACAAUGGGCGCAAGCCUGAUGCAGCCAUGCCGCGUGUAUGAAGAAGGCCUUAGGGUUGUAAAGUACUUUCAGCGGGGAGGCGUUACCCGCAGAAGAAGCACCGGCUAACUCCGUGCCAGCAGCCGCGGUAAUAC
rnacentral:rRNA from 1 species